AUUGAACGCUGGCGGCAGGCCUAACACAUGCAAGUCGAGCGAGCGGCGGACGGGUGAGUAAUGUCUGGGAAACUGCCUGCUGGAGGGGGAUAACUACUGGAAACGGUAGCUAAUACCACAUCUCAUCAGAUGUGCCCAGAUGGGCUUAGCUAGUAGGUGGGGUAACGGCUCACCUAGGCGACGAUCCCGAGCGGGUCUGAGAGGAUGACCAGCCACACUGGAACGUAGACACGGUCCAACCUCCGCCGGGGGGCAGCAGUGGGGAACUUGGGACAAUGGGCGCAAGCCUGCAGCAGCCAUGCGGGGUGUGUGAAGAGGUCCUUCGGGUUGGAAAGCACUUUCGGCGGGGAGGCGUUACCCGCAGAAGAAGCAGCGGCUAACUCCGUGCCAGCAGCCGCGGUAAUUC
rnacentral:rRNA from 1 species